GGGCACAAGGAUAUUUCUAGCUGUUCCCCAGGAAUGGUGAGGUAGAAUUGAAGCCGGACAGCAGGAGUGGAGGCUCUGAAGGCAGUGGGCGAGCCUUUGGUUUACCCCUGGGUGCCACCAACAGCAAGCAAGAGGCUCCCCUGAGCUGGACCCCUGGGCGAGGCUGAGCCAAGGGUACCCACUGCAACAACACAAGUCCAAGAGGAGAGAUCCCAGAACAAAGUUAGAAUGGGUGCAAAGUAAAAGAAAGGCAGUCCAGGAUAAAGGAGCCCUGAGCACUCUUUAUGCCACACAGAGUGCCGGCUGACAGAGCGUAAUGCCAGUGGUGGUGGUUUGGCACCAUCCUCCAGGAGGUGAAGGCCCCAUGGGCUGGUCAGACAGGGCACACGCAGCACGCUUCUGCAGGCCUUCAGGCAGGAGCUUGUGCCACCAUUUCCAUCCAGAGCUGCCUUUUCUCUCCCUCCCGCAUUUCCCCUUGUGUCUGACUCUCCAGGCCAGCUGUCUCACUGCAAGUCUGGCUGUCUUUUCUUAAAAAAAAAAUAGUGCGAUUUAUUUGGGAUGUACACACAAGUGCAAAAUUUGCAUAUAAACCUAACUGCCAAGAAAUAAAAACAUAUUC
rnacentral:lncRNA from 7 species